GACGAACGCUGGCGGCGUGCCUAAUACAUGCAAGUUGAGCGCUGAAGGUUGGUACUUGUACCAACUGGAUGAGCAGCGAAGGGGUGAGUAACGCGUGGGGAAUCUGCCUUUGAGCGGGGGACAACAUUUGGAAACGAAUGCUAAUACCGCAUAAAAACUUUAAACACAAGUUUUAAGUUUGAAAGAUGCAAUUGCAUCACUCAAAGAUGAUCCCGCGUUGUAUUAGCUAGUUGGUGAGGUAAAGGCUCACCAAGGCGAUGAUACAUAGCCGACCUGAGAGGGUGAUCGGCCACAUUGGGACUGAGACACGGCCCAAACUCCUACGGGAGGCAGCAGUAGGGAAUCUUCGGCAAUGGACGAGAGUCUGACCGAGCAACGCCGCGUGAGUGAAGAAGGUUUUCGGAUCGUAAAACUCUGUUGGUAGAGAAGAACGUUGGUGAGAGUGGAAAGCUCAUCAAGUGACGGUAACUACCCAGAAAGGGACGGCUAACUACGUG
rnacentral:rRNA from 1 species